UACGUAGGGUGCGAGCGUUAAUCGGAAUUACUGGGCGUAAAGCGUGCGCAGGCGGUUCGCUAAGACAGAUGUGAAAUCCCCGGGCUUAACCUGGGAACUGCAUUUGUGACUGGCGGCUAGAGUAUGGCAGAGGGGGGUAGAAUUCCACGUGUAGCAGUGAAAUGCGUAGAGAUGUGGAGGAAUACCGAUGGCGAAGGCAGCCCCCUGGGCCAAUACUGACGCUCAUGCACGAAAGCGUGGGGAGCAAACAGG
rnacentral:rRNA from 1 species